GACGAACGCUGGCGGCGUGCCUAAUACAUGCAAGUAGAACGCUGAAGGAGGAGCUUGCUUCUCCGGAUGAGUUGCGAACGGGUGAGUAACGCGUAGGUAACCUGCCUGGUAGCGGGGGAUAACUAUUGGAAACGAUAGCUAAUACCGCAUAAGAGUAGAUGUCGCAUGACAUUUGCUUAAAAGGUGCAACUGCACCACUACCAGAUGGACCUGCGUUGUAUUAGCUAGUUGGUGAGGUAACGGCUCACCAAGGCAACGAUACAUAGCCGACCUGAGAGGGUGAUCGGCCACACUGGGACUGAGACACGGCCCAGACUCCUACGGGAGGCAGCAGUAGGGAAUCUUCGGCAAUGGACGGAAGUCUGACCGAGCAACGCCGCGUGAGUGAAGAAGGUUUUCGGAUCGUAAAGCUCUGUUGUAAGAGAAGAACGAGUGUGAGAGUGGAAAGUUCACACUGUGACGGUAUCUUACCAGAAAGGGACGGAUAACUACGUG
rnacentral:rRNA from 1 species